rnacentral:tRNA from 1 species
AAUUAGCUCAGCUGGCUAGGGAGUCUCGAACGCAUUCGGGAAGGUCAUCGGUUCGACUCCGAUAUUCUCCACCA